rnacentral:rRNA from 1 species
GUAUGCGGCCAUAUUACGUUCAAUGCACGGUUCUCUACCGAUCACCGAAGUUAAGCAACGUCGAGCGUAGUGUGUACUUAGAUGGGUGACCGCUUGGAAAACUUAGGUGUUGUAAGCG